rnacentral:rRNA from 1 species
GACAGAGGGUGCAAACGUUGUUCGGAAUUACUGGGCGUAAAGCGCGUGUAGGCUGCUCUGCAAGUCGGAUGUGAAAGCCCUGGGCUCAACCUAGGAAGUGCAUUCGAAACUGCAGAGCUGGAGUCCUGGAGAGGAAGGCGGAAUUCUCGGUGUAGCGGUGAAAUGCGUAGAUAUCUGGAGGAACACCGGUGGCGAAGGCGGCAUCCUGGACCGACACUGACGCUGAGGCGCGAAAGCUAGGGUAGCAAACGGG